AGUGAACGCUGGCGGUAGACCUAACACAUGCAAGUCGAACGGCAGCACAGUAAGAGCUUGCUCUUACGGGUGGCGAGUGGCGGACGGGUGAGGAAUACAUCGGAAUCUACUUUUUCGUGGGGGAUAACGUAGGGAAACUUACGCUAAUACCGCAUACGACCUACGGGUGAAAGCAGGGGAUCUUCGGACCUUGCGCGAUUGAAUGAGCCGAUGUCGGAUUAGCUAGUUGGCGGGGUAAAGGCCCACCAAGGCGACGAUCCGUAGCUGGUCUGAGAGGAUGAUCAGCCACACUGGAACUGAGACACGGUCCAGACUCCUACGGGAGGCAGCAGUGGGGAAUAUUGGACAAUGGGCGCAAGCCUGAUCCAGCCAUACCGCGUGGGUGAAGAAGGCCUUCGGGUUGUAAAGCCCUUUUGUUGGGAAAGAAAAGCAGCAGGUUAAUACCCCGCUGUCCUGACGGUACCCAAAGAAUAAGCACCGGCUAACUUCGUG
rnacentral:rRNA from 1 species